rnacentral:rRNA from 1 species
GUGGGGAAUAUUGGGCAAUGGGCGAAAGCCUGACCCAGCAACGCCGCGUGAAGGAAGAAGGUUUUCGGAUCGUAAACUUCUAUCCUUGGUGAAGAUAAUGACGGUAGCCAAGAAGGAAGCCCCGGCUAACUACGUGCCAGCAGCCGCGGUAAUACGUAGGGGGCAAGCGUUGUCCGGAAUGAUUGGGCGUAAAGGGCGCGUAGGCGGCCCGGUAAGUCUGAAGUGAAAGUCCUGCUUUUAAGGUGGGAAUUGCUUUGGAUACUGUCGGGCUUGAGUGCAGGAGAGGUAAGCGGAAUUCCCGGUGUAGCGGUGAAAUGCGUAGAGAUCGGGAGGAACACCAGUGGCGAAGGCGGCUCACUGGUCUGGUACUGACGCUGAGGUGCGAAAGCGUGGGGAGCAAACAGGAUUAGAAACCCCUGUAGUCC